AUAUACGACCGUACCGCAAACCGACACUGGUGCGCGAGAUGAGUAUUCUAAGGCGCUUGAGAGAACUCAGGAGAAGGAACUCGGCAAAUUGACACCGUAACUUCGGAAGAAGGUGUGCCCUAUUAGUGUGUAGUGAACAACGAAGCAUGAAUGGGUUGCAAAAAAUCGGUGGCUGCGACUGUUUAUUAAAAACACAGCACUCUGCAAACACGAAAGUGGACGUAUAGGGUGUGACGCCUGCCCGGUGCUGGAAGAUUAAAUGAUGGGGUGCAAGCUCUUGAUUGGAGUCCCAGUAAACGGCGGCCGUAACGAUAACGGUCCUAAGGUAGCGAAAUUCCUUGUCGGGUAAGUUCCGACCUGCACGAAUGGCGUAACGAAGGCCACACUGUCUCCUCCUGAGACUCAGCGAAGUUGAAAUGUUUGUGAUGAUGCAAUCUCCCCGCGGAAAGACGGAAAGACCCCAUGAACCUUUACUGUAGCUUUGUAUUGGACUUUGAACAGAUCUGUGUAGGAUAGGUGGGAGGCUUUGAAGCAGGGUCGCUAGAUCUUGUGGAGCCAACGUUGAAAUACCACCCUGGUGUGUUUGAGGUUCUAACCUAGGUCCAUUAUCUGGAUCGGGGACAGUGCAUGGUAGGCAGUUUGACUGGGGCGGUCUCCUCCCAAAGCGUAACGGAGGAGUUCGAAGGUACGCUAGUUACGGUCGGACAUCGUGACGAUAGUGCAAUGGCAUAAGCGUGCUUAACUGCGAGACUGACAAGUCGAGCAGAUGCGAAAGCAGGACAUAGUGAUCCGGUGGUUCUGUAUGGAAGGGCCAUCGCUCAACGGAUAAAAGGUACUCUGGGAUAACAGGCUGAUACCGCCCAAGAGUUCAUAUCGACGGCGGUGUUUGGCACCUCGAUGUCGGCUCAUCUCAUCCUGGGGCUGUAGCCGGUCCCAAGGGUAUGGCUGUUCGCCAUUUAAAGAGGUACGUGAGCUGGGUUUAAAACGUCGUGAGACAGUUUGGUCCCUAUCUUCCGUGGGCGCUGCAGAUUUGAGGAAGCCUGCUCCUAGUACGAGAGGACUGGAGUGGACACACCUCUGGUGUAUCGGUUGUCACGCCAGUGGCAUUGCCGAGUAGCUAAGUGUGGAAGAGAUAACCGCUGAAAGCAUCUAAGCGGGAAACUCGUUUCAAGAUGAGAUCUGCCGGGGCCUUGAGCCCCCUAAAGAGUCGUUCAAGACCAGGACGUUGAUAGGUCAGGUGUGGAAGCGAAAC
rnacentral:rRNA from 1 species